CUGUAGUGAUGCCUUGUGCCAGAAUAUAACGUCAUUCCGGCACCCGGCAUUAAUAAACUGCAUGCGUGAGAGAAGAGUGAAGAGCAGGUAGGAGACCUCCCGAGAGAAGAACCCCAGGGAGAGGCCCCACACCAGCUCCCAAAGGUAGGGAGCAAUAAAUAAAAUGAUGUGAGUGUGUGCAAGAAUGUGAGUGUGUGUCUGUCAGAGAGUAUGUGUAUGUCUGUCUGAAAGUGUGUGUGUGUGUGUGUGUCUGUCAGUCAGGGAUUGUGCGUCUGUCAGAGAGUGUGU